UUUAGCUUCUGGCCUGUGCAAGGCAGGAAUAGUACAUGGAGUAGCAGAACCUGAGGCCUGCCAAAGAGUACAGUGGGCUGGAGUGGCCUGCAGGGGAAAGUAUGUCAGUGCGGUGACAUCACAGGCCAAUGCUCCUAUCAGGAAGAAGGGAGCUUGGGAACUGCAGAAUGCUUACUACAGAGACACCAGCCCCAAGCUAGGAGAUCCUGCCAUGGGCUUCAGGCUCCUCUGCUGUGUGGCCUUUUGUCUCCUGGGAGCAGGCCCAGUGGAUUCUGGAGUCACACAAACCCCAAAGCACCUGAUCACAGCAAUUGGACAACGAGUGACGCUGAGAUGCUCCCCUAGGUCUGGAGACCUCUCUGUGUACUGGUACCAACAGAGCUUGGACCAGGGCCUCCAGUUCCUCAUUCAGUAUUAUAAUGGGGAAGAGAGAGAAAGAGGAAACAUUCUUGAACGAUUCUCAGCACAACAGUUCCCUGACUUGCACUCUGAACUAAACCUGAGCUCUCUGGAGCUGGGGGAUUCGGCUUUGUAUUUCUGUGCCAGCAGCAUAGCACAGCCCUGCUUGAGCAUCAGCCUUCUGUGCAAUAACAUUCCUGCCCCACUCAGGAAGUGA